GGCCGAGAGACAGCUGGUAUCUCAAAAAACUCGUGAGUCGGGACACUCGUAAGUCGGGGCCCCACUGUACUAUAAUAUGCCAUAUUUCU